rnacentral:rRNA from 1 species
AGUGAACGCUGGCGGUAGGCCUAACACAUGCAAGUCGAACGGCAGCACAGUAAGAGCUUGCUCUUACGGGUGGCGAGUGGCGGACGGGUGAGGAAUACAUCGGAAUCUACUUUUUCGUGGGGGAUAACGUAGGGAAACUUACUCUAAUACCGCAUACGACCUACGGGUGAAAGCAGGGGAUCUUCGGACCUUGCGCGAUUGAAUGAGCCGAUGUCGGAUUAGUUAGUUGGCGGGGUAAAGGCCCACCAAGGCGACGAUCCGUAGCUGGUCUGAGAGGAUGAUCAGCCACACUGGAACGGAGACACGGUCCAGACUCCUACGGGAGGCAGCAGUGGGGAAUAUGGGACAAUGGGCGCAAGCCUGAUCCAGCCAUACCGCGUGGGUGAAGAAGGCCUUCGGGUUGUAAAGCCCUUUUGUUGGGAAAGAAAAGCAGCAGGUUAAUACCCCGCUGUUCUGACGGUACCCAAAGAAUAAGCACCGGCUAACUUCGUG